UCUUCCAUUCUUUUUUUUUUUCUUUUUUUUUCACCACCACUCCACCACAACAAGAUUUUUUAACAACAUUUGGAAAGGAGGGAUUUUCUUACGCCUUAUCGAAGAGACAGUAUAAGAAUAAGCAGUUUUCUGAAAUAUUAUUCAUU
rnacentral:ribozyme from 14 species